rnacentral:tRNA from 24 species
GACUUAAAAUCCGUCGACUUUAUAAGUCGUGAGGGUUCAAGUCCCUCUAUCCCCA